AUUGAACGCUGGCGGCAGGCCUAACACAUGCAAGUCGAGCGGGGUUUUCGGACCUAGCGGCGGACGGGUGAGUAAUGCGUAGGAAGCUGCCCGAUAGAGGGGGAUACCAGUUGGAAACGACUGUUAAUACCGCAUAAUGUCUACGGACCAAAGUGUGGGACCUUCGGGCCACAUGCUAUCGGAUGCGCCUACGUGGGAUUAGCUAGUUGGUGAGGUAAUGGCUCACCAAGGCGACGAUCUCUAGCUGGUUUGAGAGGAUGAUCAGACACACUGGAAAGGAGACACGGUCCAGACUCCUACGGGAGGCAGCAGUGGGGAAUAUUGGGCAAUGGGCGAAAGCCUGAUCCAGCAAUUCCGCGUGUUUGAAGAAGGCCUUCGGGUUGUAAAGCACUUUAGUUGGGGAAGAAACAGCUUGGCCACACCAAGCCUUGACGGUACCCAAAGAAUAAGCACCGGCUAACUCUGUGCCAGCCGCCGCAGUAAUAC
rnacentral:rRNA from 1 species